AUCAUACUCCCUCCGUCCGGGAUUACUUGUCGCACAAAUGAAUGGAAAUGGAUGUAUGUAGAACUAAAAUACACCUAGAUAUAUCUAUUUCCAUGACAAGUAUUUCCGGACAGAGCGAGUAUUGG
rfam:Hordeum vulgare subsp. vulgare, WGS project CAJW01000000 data, contig: morex_contig_52236